rnacentral:rRNA from 1 species
AUUGAACGCUGGCGGCAUGCUUUACACAUGCAAGUCGAACGGUAACAGGCCGCAAGGUGCUGACGAGUGGCGAACGGGUGCGUAAUGCAUCGGAACGUGCCCAGUCGUGGGGGAUAACUACUCGAAAGAGUAGCUAAUACCUCAUACGAUCUAUGGAUGAAAGCGGGGGACCGUAAGGCCUCGCGCGAUUGGAGCGGCCGAUGUCAGAUUAGGUAGUUGGUGGGGUAAAGGCUCACCAAGCCAACGAUCUGUAGCUGGUCUGAGAGGACGACCAGCCACACUGGGACUGAGACACGGCCCAGACUCCUACGGGAGGCAGCAGUGGGGAAUUUUGGACAAUGGGCGCAAGCCUGAUCCAGCAAUGCCGCGUGCAGGAAGAAGGCCUUCGGGUUUUAAACUGCUUUUGUACGGAACGAAACGGCUCUGGUUAAUACCCGGGGCUAAUGACGGUACCGUAAGAAUAAGCACCGGCUAACUACGUG